rfam:Aureimonas sp. Leaf454 contig_2, whole genome shotgun sequence.
GCUGCGGUAGCUCAGUGGUAGAGCACUCCAUUGGUAAUGGAGAGGUCGAGAGUUCAAUCCUCUCUCGCAGCA